rnacentral:lncRNA from 1 species
GCCAAGCUGACACUUAGCGAGCAAGUACGGACCUCUCCUCGCAGGCUCCGGUGGGAAAGGCUCCUGGAAGGGCGCGAGCCAGGAAAGUAGAUGAAGUGAAGAGAUGAAGACUGCGUGGGGUAGUUGUUGGAAAAGCUCGGAUCAUCCCCAACCCAGCCCCGUCUUGUCCGGCCCCAAAAGGCCCAUCUCGGCCGAGCUACUCACACUUUGUACGGCAGCCGUGGGUCCGACGUCAGCGUGAUCUUAAAGGAAACCUUCGACCUGAGGAAAAGAGCGGGAGAGAGUCAGGGUCGGGCAGCUGGACCAGGAAUUAUGGCAGUCGAUUGAUGUCAGAGUGGGAUUCAAAGUAGAACUUCAGUGACUCCAAGGAGCACCAAGUCACCAAAAGGCCAAAAGAUAAAAACAAGCAAGAAAGCAAACAAAUAAAAGUAACAACAAAAUUUAAGAACCCCUUGCAUGGAAGGAUGCUUAUUUCCUCUGGACUGAAAGAUGGCAUCAGAAGUGGGAUCUAAAGUAAAGCUUCUAACAAUCCCCAUGAGCACUGAGUGACCAAGCAAGGUACACGCCAGGCCUGUUCUGUCUGUUGCUCUCACAGAGGAGCUGGGGAUCGUGGAGGUUCAUGACAGGAUGAAAAGAAACCUGAGAAGCACUCUUGAAGAGAGGUUUCUGAAUAACUUUCGAAUCAUAUCAUUUGGACUGGAUGACAGAAACUUCAUCUGCAUUGGCUUCGGCAAAGCAGAAAUUUAUUAGCUUACAAGGCUGUACAGGAAACAUGGCUGGGGAGGUCUCAGGAAACUUACAAUCAUGGUGGAAAGUGAAGAGGAAGAAGACACAUCUUACAUGACAGAAGCAGGAAGAAGAGAGUGAAGGGGUAAGUGCCACACACUUUUAAACCACCAGAUCUCAUAAGAACUCACUGUCAUGAGAACAGCAAGGGGGAUGUUUGCCCCUAUGAUCCAAUCACCUCCCACCAGGCCC